CAAUGGUGGAUAUCUUGGCUCCUGUAUCGAUGACGAACGCAGCAGCGCGCGAUAGGUGGUGUGAUCCGCAAAACUAUAUUUGAUCAUCAAGUUUUCGAACGCAAACGGUACGCCG
rnacentral:rRNA from 1 species